UACAGAGGGUGCGAGCGUUGUUCGGAAUUACUGGGCGUAAAGCGCGCGCAGGCGGCUUCUUAAGUCCAUCGGUGAAAUGCCGGGGCUCAACCCCGAGUGUGCCGAGGAUACUGGGAGGCUGGAGACGAGUAGAGGCAAUCGGAAUUCUUGGUGUAGCGGUGAAAUGCGUAGAUAUCAAAGAGGAAUCACCUGAGGUGAAGACGGGUUGCUGGGCCAACACUGACGCUGAUGCGCGAAAGCCAGGGGAGCAAACGGG
rnacentral:rRNA from 1 species